rnacentral:lncRNA from 1 species
GCCAUUCUUCUAUAUCCAGUUGUUGAAGUUUGACUAAUAUUUUCUCUGCGAGUCCAGUGUAAUAUUCGAAGAUGAAGGUUUCUACUUGAGGUGGCUCGCAACAGAUUACAAUAGCGGCCAAUCCUCUGCUCUCUCUUCGUUAAGAAAGGAAAAGUUUGUAAUACAUUGGGUUUUAUUUUUAUGGUUUUGGAUGUACAAGUAAUUUUUUUUGUUUGGGUUAUUGGACUUACUGACUUAGAGUAAGUGAAUAUUUUGAAUUUGAAUUGAUUUUUGUUGUUAGAUCCCAAAUAUUUGAAUUUGAAUUAUUAUUUAU